UCCCUGGUGGCUCAGACGGUAAAGCAUCUGCCUACAAUGCAGGAGACCCGGGUUUGAUUCCUGGGUUGGGAA
rnacentral:tRNA from 1 species